rnacentral:rRNA from 1 species
GACAGGGGCCCCAAGCGUUAGGCGGAAUCACUGGGCUUAAAGCGUGUGUAGGCGGACGCCUAAGUGUCUUGUGAAAUCCCACGGCUCACCCGUGGAACUGCUGGGCAUACUGGGCGUCUUGGGCCAACUAGGGGCAGCCGGAACAAGCGGUGGAGCGGUGAAAUGCGUAGAUAUCGCUUGGAACGCCGAAGGUGAAAACAGGCUGCUGGGGUUGUGCCGACGCUGAGACACGAAAGCCAGGGGAGCAAACGGG